rnacentral:rRNA from 1 species
UACGAAGGGGGCUAGCGUUGUUCGGAAUUACUGGGCGUAAAGCGUGCGCAGGCGGCUGCUCAAGUCAGGGGUGAAAGCCCAGAGCUCAACUCUGGAAUUGCCUUUGAGACUGAGUGGCUUGAGUACGGGAGAGGUGGAGUGGAAUUCCCAGUGUAGAGGUGAAAUUCGUAGAUAUUGGGAAGAACACCGGUGGGCGAAGGCGGCUCACUGGCCCGUAACUGACGCUCAUGCACGACAGCGUGGGGAUCAAACAGG